rnacentral:rRNA from 1 species
UUGGUUAAGUUAGAAAGGGCGCACGGUGGAUGCCUUGGCACUAGGAGCCGAAGAAGGACGGGACUAACACCGAUAUGCUUUGGGGAGCUGUACGUAAGCGUUGAUCCAGAGAUUUCCGAAUGGGGGAACCCACUAUCUUUAGUCGGAUAGUAUCCUUACGUGAAUACAUAGCGUGAGGAAGGCAGACCCAGGGAACUGAAACAUCUAAGUACCUGGAGGAAGAGAAAGAAAAAUCGAUUUCCUGAGUAGCGGCGAGCGAAACGGAAAGAGCCCAAACCAAGAAGCUUGCUUCUUGGGGUUGUAGGACACUCUAUACGGAGUUACAAAAGAAAGUUAUAAAUGAAGCGGUCUGGAAAGGCCCGCCAAAGACGGUAACAGCCCGGUAGUUGAAAUGGCUUUCCCUCCAGAGUGGAUCCUGAGUACGGCGGAACACGUGAAAUUCCGUCGGAAUCCGGGAGGACCAUCUCCCAAGGCUAAAUACUCCCUAGUGACCGAUAGUGAACCAGUACCGUGAGGGAAAGGUGAAAAGCACCCCGGAAGGGGAGUGAAACAGUUCCUGAAACCGUGUGCCUACAAGUAGUUAGAGCCCGUUAAUGGGUGAUAGCGUGCCUUUUGUAGAAUGAACCGGCGAGUUACGAUUUGUUGCAAGGUUAAGCGGAAAAAGCGGAGCCGUAGCGAAAGCGAGUCUGAAUAGGGCGCAUAAGUAACAGGUCGUAGACCCGAAACCAGGUGAUCUACCCAUGUCCAGGAUGAAGGUAAGGUAAUACUUACUGGAGGUCCGAACCCACGCACGUUGAAAAGUGCGGGGAUGAGGUGUGGGUAGCGGAGAAAUUCCAAUCGAACUUGGAGAUAGCUGGUUCUCUCCGAAAUAGCUUUAGGGCUAGCCUCGAGGUAAAGAGUCAUGGAGGUAGAGCACUGUUUGGACUAGGGGCCCUUCUCGGGUUACCGAAUUCAGAUAAACUCCGAAUGCCAUGUACUUAUACUCGGGAGUCAGACUGCGAGUGAUAAGAUCCGUAGUCGAAAGGGAAACAGCCCAGACCACCAGUUAAGGUCCCCAAAUAUAUGUUAAGUGGAAAAGGAUGUGGGGUUGCUUAGACAACCAGGAUGUUGGCUUAGAAGCAGCCACCAUUGAAAGAGUGCGUAAUAGCUCACUGGUCGAGUGACCCCGCGCCGAAAAUGUACCGGGGCUAAACAUAUUACCGAAACUGUGGAUGAACCUCUUUAGAG